AAUUAAUGAACUUGAUACAAGUUUAUAUUUUGAAAAUAUAAAAAAGAAGUUUUUAAUCUUCUAUUAAUUU
rnacentral:tRNA from 1 species